rnacentral:rRNA from 1 species
UGAGGAAUAUUGGUCAAUGGGCGAAAGCCUGAACCAGCAACGCCGCGCGAGGGAUGAAGGCCUUCGGGUCGUAAACCUCUUUUCUGGGAGACGAGACAAGGACGGUAUCCCAGGAAUAAGUCUCGGCUAACUACGUGCCAGCAGCCGCGGUAAAACGUAGGAGGCAAGCGUUAUCCGGAUUUACUGGGCGUAAAGCGCACGCAGGCGGCUGCGUAAGUCGGACGUGAAAGCUCCUGGCUCAACUGGGAGAGGUCGUUCGAAACUGCGCGGCUUGAGGUUGGAAGAGGAGAGCGGAAUUCCCGGUGUAGUGGUGGAAUGCGUAGAUAUCGGGAGGAACACCAGUGGCGAAAGCGGCUCUCUGGUCCACACCUGACGCUCAGGUGCGAAAGCGUGGGUAGCGAACG